ACACGGGUGCGUAACGCGUGGGAAUCUGCCCUUGGGUUCGGGAUAACAGUUGGAAACGACUGCUAAUACCGGAUGAUGACUUCGGUCCAAAGAUUUAUCGCCCAGGGAUGAGCCCGCGUAGGAUUAGCUAGUUGGUGAGGUAAAGGCUCACCAAGGCGACGAUCCUUAGCUGGUCUGAGAGGAUGAUCAGCCACACUGGGACUGAGACACGGCCCAGACUCCUACGGGAGGCAGCAGUGGGGAAUAUUGGACAAUGGGCGAAAGCCUGAUCCAGCAAUGCCGCGUGAGUGAUGAAGGCCUUAGGGUUGUAAAGCUCUUUUACCCGGGAAGAUAAUGACUGUACCGGGAGAAUAAGCCCCGGCUAACUCCGUGCCAGCAGCCGCGGUAUACGGAGGGGGCUAGCGUUGUUCGGAAUUACUGGGCGUAAAGCGCGCGUAGGCGGCUUUGUAAGUUAGAGGUGAAAGCCCGGAGCUCAACUCCGGAACUGCCUUUAAGACUGCAUCGCUAGAAUCAUGGAGAGGUGAGUGGAAUUCCGAGUGUAGAGGUGAAAUUCGUAGAUAUUCGGAAGAACACCAGUGGCGAAG
rnacentral:rRNA from 1 species